UUCUCAGUAGCUCAGUGGUAGAGCGGUCGACUGUUAACCGAUUGGUCGUAGGUUCGAAUCCUACUUAGGGAG
rnacentral:tRNA from 1 species